rnacentral:rRNA from 1 species
UACGAAGGGUGCAAGCGUUGCCCGGAAUCAUUGGGCGUAAAGUGUUUCGCAGGCGUCUUGGUAAGUUAUUUUUCAAAGCUUCUGGCUUAACCAGAAAAAGGGAAGUAAUACUGCCAGGAUAGAAGAAUGUUGGGGUCACUGGAAUUGUCAGUGUAGGGGUGAAAUCCGUUGAUAUUGACAAGAACUCCGAAGGCGUAGGCGGGUGACUAAACAUUUCUUGACGCUCAUGAACGAAAGCUAGGGGAGCGAAAGGG